rnacentral:rRNA from 2 species
GACGGAGGAUGCAAGCGUUAUCCGGAAUGAUUGGGCGUAAAGCGUCCGCAGGUGGCAGUUCAAGUCUGCUGUCAAAGACCGGGGCUUAACUUCGGAAAGGCAGUGGAAACUGAACAGCUAGAGUAUGGUAGGGGCAGAGGGAAUUCCUGGUGUAGCGGUGAAAUGCGUAGAGAUCAGGAAGAACAUCGGUGGCGAAGGCGCUCUGCUGGACCAUAACUGACACUCAGGGACGAAAGCUAGGGGAGCGAAU